rnacentral:rRNA from 1 species
AUGAACGCUAGCUACAGGCUUAACACAUGCAAGUCGAGGGGCAGCAUGGUCUUAGCUUGCUAAGGCCGAUGGCGACCGGCGCACGGGUGAGUAACACGUAUCCAACCUGCCGUCUACUCUUGGACAGCCUUCUGAAAGGAAGAUUAAUACAAGAUGGCAUCAUGAGUCCGCAUGUUCACAUGAUUAAAGGUAUUCCGGUAGACGAUGGGGAUGCGUUCCAUUAGAUAGUAGGCGGGGUAACGGCCCACCUAGUCUUCGAUGGAUAGGGGUUCUGAGAGGAAGGUCCCCCACAUUGGAACUGAGACACGGUCCAAACUCCUACGGGAGGCAGCAGUGAGGAAUAUUGGUCAAUGGGCGAGAGCCUGAACCAGCCAAGUAGCGUGAAGGAUGACUGCCCUAUGGGUUGUAAACUUCUUUUAUAAAGGAAUAAAGUCGGGUAUGGAUACCCGUUUGCAUGUACUUUAUGAAUAAGGAUCGGCUAACUCCGUGCCAGCAGCCGCGGUAAUACGGAGGAUCCGAGCGUUAUCCGGAUUUAUUGGGUUUAAAGGGAGCGUAGAUGGAUGUUUAAGUCAGUUGUGAAAGUUUGCGGCUCAACCGUAAAAUUGCAGUUGAUACUGGAUAUCUUGAGUGCAGUUGAGGCAGGCGGAAUUCGUGGUGUAGCGGUGAAAUGCUUAGAUAUCACGAAGAACUCCGAUUGCGAAGGCAGCCUGCUAAGCUGCAACUGACAUUGAGGCUCGAAAGUGUGGGUAUCAAACAGGAUUAGAUACCCUGGUAGUCCACGCUGUAAACGAUGAUUACUAGGUGUGGGGGGUCUGACCCCUUCCGUGCCGGAGUUAACACAAUAAGUAAUCCACCUGGGGAGUACGGCCGCAAGGUUGAAACUCAAAGGAAUUGACGGGGGCCCGCACAAGCGGAGGAACAUGUGGUUUAAUUCGAUGAUACGCGAGGAACCUUACCCGGGCUUAAAUUGCAGAUGAAUUACGGUGAAAGCCGUAAGCCGCAAGGCAUCUGUGAAGGUGCUGCAUGGUUGUCGUCAGCUCGUGCCGUGAGGUGUCGGCUUAAGUGCCAUAACGAGCGCAACCCUUGUUGUCAGUUACUAACAGGUUCCGCUGAGGACUCUGACAAGACUGCCAUCGUAAGAUGUGAGGAAGGUGGGGAUGACGUCAAAUCAGCACGGCCCUUACGUCCGGGGCUACACACGUGUUACAAUGGGGGGUACAGAGGGCCGCUACCACGCGAGUGGAUGCCAAUCCCCAAAACCUCUCUCAGUUCGGACUGGAGUCUGCAACCCGACUCCACGAAGCUGGAUUCGCUAGUAAUCGCGCAUCAGCCACGGCGCGGUGAAUACGUUCCCGGGCCUUGUACACACCGCCCGUCAAGCCAUGGGAGCCGGGGGUACCUGAAGUGCGUAACCGCGAGGAGCGCCCUAGGGUAAAACUGGUGACUGGGGCU